UACGGAGGGUGCAAGCGUUAUCCGGAUUUACUGGGUUUAAAGGGUGCGUAGGUGGGUUGGUAAGUCAGUGGUGAAAUACUUUCGCUUAACGAAGGAACUGCCAUUGAUACUAUCAAUCUUGAAUGUAGUGGAGGUAGGCGGAAUGCGUCAUGUAGCGGUGAAAUGCUUAGAUAUGACGCAGAACACCAAUUGCGAAGGCAGCUUGCUACACUACUAUUGACACUGAGGCACGAAGCGUGGGGAUCAAACAGG
rnacentral:rRNA from 1 species